ACGUAGGGUGCGAGCGUUAAUCGGAAUUACUGGGCGUAAAGCGUGCGCAGGCGGUGAUGUAAGACAGAUGUGAAAUCCCCGGGCUCAACCUGGGAACUGCAUUUGUGACUGCAUCGCUGGAGUGCGGCAGAGGGGGAUGGAAUUCCGCGUGUAGCAGUGAAAUGCGUAGAUAUGCGGAGGAACACCGAUGGCGAAGGCAGGUCUCUGGGCCACUACUGACGCUGAGAAGCGAAAGCAUGGGGAGCGAACGGGA
rnacentral:rRNA from 1 species